UACAGAGGUCCCAAGCGUUGUUCGGAAUUACUGGGCGUAAAGGGUGCGUAGGUGGCUUAUUAAGUCAGGGGUGAAAGACGGUAGCUUAACUAUCGCAGUGCCUUUGAUACUGAUGAGCUUGAAUGAACUGAGAGGUAGGCGGAAUGUGACAGUAGCGGUGAAAUGCAUAGAUAUGUCACAGAACACCAAUUGCGAAGGCAGCUUACUAUGGUUAUAUUGACACUGAGGCACGAAAGCGUGGGGAUCAAACAGG
rnacentral:rRNA from 1 species